rnacentral:rRNA from 1 species
UACAGAGGGGGCAAGCGUUGUUCGGAAUUACUGGGCGUAAAGGGCGCGUAGGCGGCCUUCUAAGUCGAACGUGAAAUCCCCGGGCUCAACCCGGGAACUGCGUCCGAUACUGGAAGGCUUGAAUCCGGGAGAGGGAUGCGGAAUUCCAGGUGUAGCGGUGGAAUGCGUAGAGAUCCGGAAGAACACCGGUGGCGAAGGCGGCCUGCUGGGCAGUUUAGCUGACACUGAGGCGCGACAGCGUGGGGAGCAAACAGG